CGGCCGGGCGUCUCUUCCGGCUAGUCCACCGCUUCAUUUCGCAGGUUGGCUUCCCCCAACCCAUUUAUAUGAACUCUAUUGGAAACCCGGCUUUUGCGGGGAGCUAUGGAGUGUGUGCUGAAGCAUUUGGCUUCAGCCAAAUGGUAUAAAACACCAAGUGAAACACUAAGUUCUGCGGUAACCCCAGAGAUCAGAGCGGCUGCCCUGCACUGGUUUGGUCUAUGUUGCCACCUUGAAGAAGGUGUGGGAGUUUUCUGCCAGCAUCGUAUCUUUCUCCUGGAGACCAGGAAAGACUUGUGAUGACCCAGGAUCUGGCAAAGUCCCUGCCACUCAGAGGCGAUUCAUGUUUUCACCAGUGAUGCCGCCAGCUGACAGCCACCUUCAACUGCUAGACAGACGAGCCUUCAGAUGAUUCCAGCCUCCAGCCUUCAAGUCCUCUAGCUGAGGCCUGCAACACUGAAGGGCAGAGACAAGGGCACAGAGUUGUUCUACAUUUUCCAGCCUCCCUUGCAGUUUCUUGGUAGCUAAGUAUUGGCGGUGAAGUAACUGAAUUCUAGCUGAAGAAAUGAGCUUGGGCGUGAUGUGUUCCACUUCCAAGUCUGACCCAAGACCUUCAUGCUCUCUCCCCCACUGCCGACCUGAUGCAGAUGUAUGUGGCGGCUUGAAGUCACAUAUUGAGGCUGGUGGAACCACAGGAUGGAAGGAGUGUAGGUUCCUGAAUCCCUGCUUGGAGGAAAGCCAGCUGCUCAGCAGACUUUCGUGCAACUUUAGAUUGUACACGAGGAAGAAAUAAA
ensembl:lncRNA